AGGGAUCAUUACACAAAUAUGAAGGCGGGCCGGAACCUCUCGGGGUUACAGCCUUGCUGAAUUAUUCACCCUUGUCUUUUGCGUACUUCUUGUUUCCUUGGUGGGUUCGCCCACCACUAGGACAAACAUAAACCUUUUGUAAUUGCAAUCAGCGUCAGUAACAAAUUAAUAAUUACAACUUUCAACAACGGAUCUCUUGGUUCUGGCAUCGAUGAAGAACGCAGCGAAAUGCGAUAAGUAGUGUGAAUUGCAGAAUUCAGUGAAUCAUCGAAUCUUUGAACGCACAUUGCGCCCUUUGGUAUUCCAAAGGGCAUGCCUGUUCGAGCGUCAUUUGUACCCUCAAGCUUUGCUUGGUGUUGGGCGUCUUGUCUCUAGCUUUGCUGGAGACUCGCCUUAAAGUAAUUGGCAGCCGGCCUACUGGUUUCGGAGCGCAGCACAAGUCGCACUCUCUAUCAGCAAAGGUCUAGCAUCCAUUAAGCCUUUUUUUCAACUUUUGACCUCGGAUCAGGUAGGGAUACCCGCUGAACUUAAGCAUAUCAAUAAGCGGAGGAAAAGAAACCAACAGGGAUUGCCCUAGUAACGGCGAGUGAAGCGGCAACAGCUCAAAUUUGAAAUCUGGCUCUUUUAGAGUCCGAGUUGUAAUUUGCAGAGGGCGCUUUGGCUUUGGCAGCGGUCCAAGUUCCUCGGAUCAGGACGUCACAGAGGGUGAGAAUCCCGUACGUGGUCGCUGGCUAUUGCCGUGUAAAGCCCCUUCGACGAGUCGAGUUGUUUGGGAAUGCAGCUCUAAAUGGGAGGUACAUUUCUUCUAAAGCUAAAUAUUGGCCAGAGACCGAUAGCGCACAAGUAGAGUGAUCGAAAGAUGAAAAGCACUUUGGAAAGAGAGUCAAACAGCACGUGAAAUUGUUGAAAGGGAAGCGCUUGCAGCCAGACUUGCCUACAGUUGCUCAUCCGGGUUUCUACCCGGUGCACUCUUCUGUAGGCAGGCCAGCAUCAGUUUGGGCGGUAGGAUAAAGGUCUCUGUCACGUACCUCCUUUCGGGGAGGCCUUAUAGGGGAGACGACAUACUACCAGCCUGGACUGAGGUCCGCGCAUCUGCUAGGAUGCUGGCGUAAUGGCUGUAAGCGGCC
rnacentral:rRNA from 1 species